rnacentral:rRNA from 1 species
AUUGAACGCUGGCGGCAGGCCUAACACAUGCAAGUCGAACGAGUGGCGGACGGGUGAGUAAUGUCUGGGAAACUGCCCGAUGGAGGGGGAUACCUACUGGACAUGGUAGCUAAUACCGCAUACCAUCGGAUGUGCCCAGAUGGGCUUAGCUAGUAGGUGGGGUAACGGCUCACCUAGGCGACGAUCCCUCGCUGGUCUGAGAGGAUGACCAGCCACACUGGAACUGAGACACGUGCCAAGCUCGUACGGAAGGCAGCAGGGGGGAAUAUUGCAAAAUGGGCGCAAGCCUGAUGAAGCCAUGCCGCGUGUAUGAAGAAGGCCUUCGGGUUGUAAAGUACUGUCAGCGAGGAGGGGUUACUCGCAGAAGAAGCAUCGGCUAACUCCGUGCCAGGAGCCGCGGUAAUUC